AACAAACCAAUCUUUCACUUUUUACCUAUAAUGUUUGACUCUUCGUCUUAUUUAAAAAAAAAUUACGAUUAAUAUUUUUGUUUUUAUUAGAUGAUAAAUCAUGAAUAGUACUUUACGCGUGACUAAUUUUUUUUAAUUUCUUUAAAAAAUUUCAAAUAAGACGGAUGGUCAAACGCUAGACACGGAAACCAAAAGAUUGGUUUGUU
rfam:Oryza brachyantha chromosome 2, whole genome shotgun sequence.